AUUCAGCUUUGAGUCAGUUUUACAACAAACCUCACUCCUUCAAGAGAAGUGUGGGGCUCUGUUUACUUGCAGAAGCAUAACAUCCGAGAACAGCAGCAUAACAUCUUGAGCAUGUAUAUUGUAUCUGUGUUUACACUGUAGUUGAUGACAAUGGACUUGGCUUGUGUCUUAUGUUCCAUCUCUGCUGCAGACUCACUGUGUUGUUCGAAGUCUGAUGUCUUCAUGGACAUCUUCUUAUCCUGUGCUGAGUGAAGGCCAGUCUGCCAAUUCAACUUCAACAUUUAAGCUAUGCAACAAGGUCAGGGAGGAGAUGGCCAGUUGUUGAGCUUCGAACGGGCAGAAAGCUGUACAAAAAGAUCAGGGUGGCGAUGGUCAGUUCUUGAGCUUCGAACAGGCAGAAAGCUAUGCAACAAGAUCAGGGUGGCGAUGGUCAGUUCUUGAGCUUCGAACGGGCAGAAAGCUAUGCAACAAGAUCCGGGUGGCGAUGGUCAGUUCUGGAGCUUCGAACGGGCAGAAAGCUAUGCAACAAGAUCAGGGUGUCGAUGGUCAGUUCUUGAGCUUCGAACGGGCAGAAGG